UUAAUCUCAGAUACCAAG
rnacentral:snRNA from 1 species